CAAUAGCGUAUAUUAAAGUUGUUGCAGUUAAAAAGCUCGUAGUUGGAUUUCUGGUAGGAGUGACCGUGCCAGACUUGAUUGUCUGUGUAUUGUGUUGUCUCCAGCCAUCCUUGUGGAGAACUUUUCUUGCAUUAAUUUGUAGGGAUUGGGACCCGCAUCGUUUACUGUGAAAAAAUUAGAGUGUUUAAAGCAGGCAAUCGCUUGAAUACAUUAGCAUGGAAUAAUAAGAUAGGACUUUGGUACUAUUUUGUUGGUUUGUAUACCAAAUUAAUGAUCAACAGGAACAGUUUGAGGAUAUUCGUAUGAACAUGUCAGAGGUGAAAUUCUUGGAUUUUGAUCAGGCGAACUACUGCGAAAGCAUUUAUCAAGGAUGUUUUCAUUAA
rnacentral:rRNA from 1 species